rnacentral:tRNA from 1 species
CGUAGCUCAAUUGGCAGAGCACCGGACUCCAAAUCCGGAGGUUGGGGGUUCGAGUCCCUCCGG